GUGCCCACCCUGUUACCAAAGAAACCAUUAUGUCAUUGGUAACUAGUCUUCUUUCGGAUGAAAGGUUACUUAUGGAAGUAAAUAGAGACCGUCCCUUUCAAUUUGGAAGAUCAGGGACUCGACAGCCAGGGAAUAAAUGGUAUAAGCUAUUCCUGUCGAGGCAUCCUAACAUAGUUGCUCGCAUGACUUAAUCAUUAAGUGCGAAUAGAAGAAAUGUCUCACAAGCUGUCAUACAACAAUGGUUUGCUGAUAUAAGAUCGUACCUCUCUGAACAUGACCUUCUUGAAAUCCUUCAGGAACCCCAGCGUAACUAUAACAUCGACGAGUCGGGGUUCCAGUUUUCACCCAAGGUUUCCAAAGUUUUAGCUGCUAAGGGUUCUAAAAAUGUACCGUAUGCGACAUCUUCAAAAGAAAAGGAAAGAAUCACUGUUCUAGCUAACGUUGGUGCCGAUGGCUCUCUCCCUCCACCGCUUAUAAUUUAUCCUAACCUUCGUAUUCCUAUGAAUGUAUACGAAGCCAUUCCAUCCAGUUUAUUUGCAAUCGGAAAGAGUGAAUCGGGAUAUAUUAACCAUCAGGUGCUUUAUGAGUAUCUCACUAAUGCAUUUGACCACUGGUUAACUCAACAUAAUAUACAAAGACCAGUUAUAGUUUGGUCCGACAAACAUGAAUCGAGGCUGCAAUUUCAUUUAGUUAAAACCUUAGCAGACCUGCAAAUAAUGCUUAUAUUGAUCCCACCAAACUGUACCCAUUUCAUGCAGC